UACGUAGGGGGGCAAGCGUUGUCCGGAAUCAUUGGGCGUAAAGCGCGUGUAGGCGGCUCGGUAAGUCUGCUCUGAAAGUCCAAGGCUCAACCUUGGGAUGCGGGUGGAUACUGCCGGGCUCGAGUCCGGAAGAGGCGAGUGGAAUUCCUGGUGUAGCGGUGAAAUGCGCAGAUAUCAGGAGGAACACCAAUGGCGAAGGCAGCUCGCUGGGACGUGACUGACGCUGAGACGCGAAAGCGUGGGGAGCAAACAGG
rnacentral:rRNA from 1 species